AUAUCCCUGCCGUGUUCGUGAUUGGAGUAUAUCCUUUGACCCAAUGGCAAUAUCACGGGAGCCUCCUCUGGCUUUGGUGCGCAUGUUCUGCCUGACAGAAAAGCCUGAAGAAGUUACAGAGGCACCCCCCUUUGAACAAUCGGUUCAAAGACCUUAAUUCAACACGGCACCCGGGUGGGGAUAUU
rnacentral:other from 1 species